AUUUGGGAUAUCGUGAAUGUAGUAGUUACGUGAGAAAAUUCAUUCAAUGGAUAAAUCGAAUCAAUCAUAUCAAUAUGCGGUGUAAUAAACUUCAUUCUAAAGGAACCGUCUGAUUCUUUUCUAUGCUAUUUGAUUCGCGUAGUGGGUUUGGUUGAGGGAUCUGCAUAGUCCUAUCAAAUGACAAAGAUACGUUUCAGCAGGUGACUGGUAGAGACAAAAAA